AUGAACGCUGGCGGCGUGCCUAAUACAUGCAAGUCGAGCGAACAGACGAGGAGCUUGCUCCUCUGACGUUAGCGGCGGACGGGUGAGUAACACGUGGAUAACCUACCUAUAAGACUGGGAUAACUUCGGGAAACCGGAGCUAAUACCGGAUAAUAUAUUGAACCGCAUGGUUCAAUAGUGAAAGACGGUUUUGCUGUCACUUAUAGAUGGAUCCGCGCCGCAUUAGCUAGUUGGUAAGGUAACGGCUUACCAAGGCGACGAUGCGUAGCCGACCUGAGAGGGUGAUCGGCCACACUGGAACUGAGACGCGGUCCAGACUCCUACGGGAGGCAGCAGUAGGGAAUCUUCCGCAAUGGGCGAAAGCCUGACGGAGCAACGCCGCGUGAGUGAUGAAGGUCUUCGGAUCGUAAAACUCUGUUAUUAGGGAAGAACAAAUGUGUAAGUAACUAUGCACGUCUUGACGGUACCUAAUCAGAAAGCCACGGCUAACUACGUG
rnacentral:rRNA from 1 species